CCCCGCUGUGUCAUUUCAGUCGAAGAAAAAGACAAAAUUACAUGUGCGCCUUACAGACUCAACAGGGGGGAACGCGCCGGGGCAUCAUAGGAGUCGGCGGCGGCAGGGAUUGUGGGAAAUGUAGUUUGGAGACUCCGCCCUCCUCGCCAUUCCUGUAAUGGCUGCUUCCUAGAAGGUCGUGUCACGUGGAACCUCUUAAUCUCAGCAUCCGGAGCUCCAGGAAGGGAAAAUUUCAAGUCAGAUAGAAUUCUAUAUAUACCAUUUCUUUGGAACCUUCAGCCCUCAAGAUUCCAACAUCAUGACCUCAGUUUCAACACAGUUGUCCUUAGUCCUCAUGUCACUGCUUUUGGUGCUGCCUGUUGUGGAAGCAGUAGAAGCCGGUGAUGCAAUCGCCCUUUUGUUAGGUGUGGUUCUCAGCAUUACAGGCAUUUGUGCCUGCUUGGGGGUAUAUGCACGAAAAAGAAAUGGACAGAUGUGACUUUGAAAGGCCUACUGAGUCAAACCUCACCCUGAAAACCUUUGCGCUUUAGAGGCUAAACCUGAGAUUUGGUGUGUGAAAGGUUCCAAGAAUCAGUAAAUAAGGGAGUUUCACAUUUUUCAUUGUUUCCAUGAAAUGGCAACAAACAUACAUUUAUAAAUUGAAAAAAAAAUGUUUUCUUUACAACAAAUAAUGCACAGAAAAAUGCAGCCUAUAAUUUGCUAGUUAGGUAGUCAAAGAAGUAAGAUGGCUGAAAUUUACAUAAGUAAUAUUUCAUAAUCUUAGAAUUCUCUCAAAGCAUGUGAAAUAGGAAGAAGGAAGUUCUUGCCCAGAAUCUUAGGAAAUCACCACUGUUCGGUUAUAAUCACUGCCUCCUGAAUCGUUGAGGAGUCUUUUAAAUUAGAUUUUUGUUUUGUUGUCUCCCAAGUUAAUAUUAUAUUUAGAUAUCAGAGAGUCAGGCAAAAAGGAAAACUUUUAUCUCUAGGGAAAAAACAUUUAGAAAAAUGUAUUCAGUGUAUCUAAUACUGAAAUGCGGAAAAAAAUUUAAUGUUAAAAAAAAACUAUAGACAUUGACAUGGAAAAGAGAUUUAAUGUUUUGAAAAAAAACUUUAUAUUAACUGAGUAACAUCCUCCUGAUGAGAAGUACUAUAUUAAAUAUAAACCCAUUAUGUUAUAA
rnacentral:lncRNA from 1 species